rnacentral:rRNA from 1 species
GACGAACGCUGGCGGCGUGCUUAACACAUGCAAGUCGAACGGAAAGGCCCUGCUUUUGUGGGGUGCUCGAGUGGCGAACGGGUGAGUAACACGUGAGUAACCUGCCCUUGACUUUGGGAUAACUUCAGGAAACUGGGGCUAAUACCGGAUAGGAGCUCCUGCUGCAUGGUGGGGGUUGGAAAGUUUCGGCGGUUGGGGAUGGACUCGCGGCUUAUCAGCUUGUUGGUGGGGUAGUGGCUUACCAAGGCUUUGACGGGUAGCCGGCCUGAGAGGGUGACCGGCCACAUUGGGACUGAGAUACGGCCCAGACUCCUACGGGAGACAGCAGUGGGGAAUAGUGCACAAUGGGCGGAAGCCUGAUGCAGCAACGCCGCGUGCGGGAUGACGGCCUUCGGGUUGUAAACCGCUUUCGCCUGUGACGAAGCGUGAGUGACGGUAAUGGGUAAAGAAGCACCGGCUAACUACGUG